rnacentral:rRNA from 1 species
UAGGGAAUCCUCGGCAAUGGACGAAAGUCUGACCGAGCAACGCCGCGUGAGUGAAGAAGGUUUUCGGAUCGUAAAACUCUGUUGUUAGAGAAGAAUGUUGAUUAGAGUGGAAAAUUAAUCAAGUGACGGUAUCUAACCAGAAAGGGACGGCUAACUACGUGCCAGCAGCCGCGGUAAUACGUAGGUCCCGAGCGUUGUCCGGAUUUAUUGGGCGUAAAGCGAGCGCAGGUGGUUUAAUAAGUCUGAUGUAAAAGGCAGUGGCUCAACCAUUGUGUGCAUUGGAAACUGUUAGACUUGAGUGCAGUAGAGGAGAGUGGAAUUCCAUGUGUAGCGGUGAAAUGCGUAGAUAUUAGGAGGAACACCAGUUGCGAAGGCGGCUCUCUGGACUGUAACUGACACUGAGGCACGAAAGCGUGGGGAGCAAACA